rnacentral:rRNA from 1 species
GACGAACACUGGCGGCGUGCUUAACACAUGCAAGUCGAACGGAAAGGCCCUGCUUUUGUGGGGUGCUCGAGUGGCGAACGGGUGAGUAACACGUGAGUAACCUGCCCUUGACUUUGGGAUAACUUCAGGAAACUGGGGCUAAUACCGGAUAGGAGCUCCUGCUGCAUGGUGGGGGUUGGAAAGUUUCGGCGGUUGGGGAUGGACUCGCGGCUUAUCAGCUUGUUGGUGGGGUAGUGGCUUACCAAGGCUUUGACGGGUAGCCGGCCUGAGAGGGUGACCGGCCACAUUGGGACUGAGAUACGGCCCAGACUCCUACGGGAGGCAGCAGUGGGGAAUAUUGCACAAUGGGCGAAAGCCUGAUGCAGCAACGCCGCGUGCGGGAUGACGGCCUUCGGGUUGUAAACCGCUUUCGCCUGUGACGAAGCGUGAGUGACGGUAAUGGGUAAAGAAGCACCGGCUAACUACGUG